rnacentral:misc_RNA from 1 species
AAGUCGUAACAAGGUAUCUGUAGGUGAACCUGCAGAUGGAUCAUCUUGAUAUUACACAGCGCACGCAUCGUCUCCCUAAAAAAGAGUCGGGCGUGCGUGAGGUGUGGCUCCGCACCUGACUAAAUAAAUCGGGCUACCAUUUACACACUGUUGCACCGGGUUGGAAAUGUCAAAUAGCGCGAAAUGCACUACGCGACAAGUCCAGCCAAAUUAUACACACACGUAUGAUGAAUUAGGAUUUGAAUGUCAACGAUUUGAACGGCUGGUAAUGCGGUAGUAUAAUCAAAAAUAACUUUUGGCAACGGAUCUCUUGGUUCUCC